AUUGAACGCUGGCGGCAUGCCUUACACAUGCAAGUCGAACGGCAGCACGGGUGCUUGCACCUGGUGGCGAGUGGCGAACGGGUGAGUAAUAUAUCGGAACGUGCCCUAGAGUGGGGGAUAACGUAGCGAAAGUUACGCUAAUACCGCAUACGAUCUACGGAUGAAAGUGGGGGAUCGCAAGACCUCAUGCUCCUGGAGCGGCCGAUAUCUGAUUAGCUAGUUGGUGGGGUAAAAGCCUACCAAGGCGACGAUCAGUAGCUGGUCUGAGAGGACGACCAGCCACACUGGGACUGAGACACGGCCCAGACUCCUACGGGAGGCAGCAGUGGGGAAUUUUGGACAAUGGGGGAAACCCUGAUCCAGCAAUGCCGCGUGUGUGAAGAAGGCCUUCGGGUUGUAAAGCACUUUUGUCAGGAACGAAACGGUGGGGGCUAAUACCUCCUGCUAAUGACGGUACCUGAAGAAUAAGCACUGGCUAACUACGUGCCAGCCGCCGCCGUAA
rnacentral:rRNA from 1 species